rnacentral:rRNA from 1 species
CGCCUCUUGAUAAUAAUAAGAGGUCCAGCCUGCCCAGUGAUAACUUCAACGGCCGCGGUACCCUAACCGUGCAAAGGUAGCAUAAUCACUUGUUCUUUAAAUAAGGACUUGUAUCAACGGCACCACGAGGGUUACACUGUCUCCCCCCUCCAAUCAGUGAAACUGAUCUCCCUAUGAAAAAGUAGGGAUAACACUAUAAGACGAGAAGACCCCAUGGAGCUUUAAACCUCAUAGCAAUUUAGUAAAACUACAAAAUUAUGCUAGCGGCUUUAGGUUGGGGUGACCGCGGAGUAAAAACUAACCUCCACAACGAAAAGACUUAAAUCUUAACCAAAGAAUUACUAUUCUAAGAAUUAGAAAACUAACGAACCAUGACCCAAUAUUGAUCAACGAACCAAGUUACCCUGGGGAUAACAGCGCAAUCUACUUCAAGAGUCCAUAUCGACAAGUAGGCUUACGACCUCGAUGUUGGAUCAGGGUAUCCUAGUGGUGCAGCCGCUACUAAGGGUUCGUUUGUUCAACGAUUAAAACCCU